rnacentral:lncRNA from 1 species
CUGUAGCAAAUUGCUGGGAGAGAGCAUCCAUUAAGUGCCUUCGAAACUGAAUACGAGUUAGUUGUGCCAAGAAGGACCAUGAAAUCGAGGAUUCUGGAUCAAAAAAAGCCUUGCUGAGGUUCCAUUUGAUAAUUCUUUUCAUGAUGCAAUAAAAGGAGCAGCAGUGAUUCAGUAAGUCAGAAGGAGGGAGCCAGUCAGCUGGAUCAUACACUGCAGGGAAAUAGUAGGAAGAUAGUUUUUGUAGUGAUAGUAAAACUUUUCUGGUAUGCUUCCAAGUGCUGUAGCCACUCUUGUUGGCAGUGUAGACGUAGUAAAAUGUAUGAUUUGAAACAAGAUGAGAACUUGCAUCGAGAAGAGAUUAUGCCUUUGAACAAGGCCACUAAAGAAUAGUUGGGAUUCCUCUGAAAGCCUCUUCUCUACUGGUACCAGGUAGUGCUGCAGGCUCGUGGCAAACAACAGUGGAACUGAGAAUUCACAGAGUUAGGAUUUAUUUGCCCUUCUAUGCUUAUCUCCUGCUCCUGUAUUUCUGCUUUGCUUCAGGACUUGCUGCCUGUUUCUCCAAAGUGGUGCUACUGUUUGUCUCCAGCUGUGCUCUAGGAAUACAAAUCAAGCCAGUGCUUCAGCAUGGCAUAAGAAAUGUUCUGGUAGCUAAGGAGCCCAUAUUGAGGAAGGAUGCAGAGUUAGCAACAUGA